rnacentral:rRNA from 1 species
UACAGAGGUCUCGAGCGUUAGGCGGAAUCACUGGGCUUAAAGCGUGUGUAGGCGGACUGGUAAGUACCUUGUGAAAUCCCACGGCUCAACCGUGGAACUGCUUGGUAUACUGCUUGUCUUGUGCAACCUAGGGGCGAGCGAAACAGAUGGUGGAGCGGUGAAAUGCGUAGAUAUCAUCUGGAACGCCAAUGGUGAAAACAGCUCGCUGGGGGUUUGCAGACGCUGAGACACGAAAGCCAGGGGAGCAAACGGG